rnacentral:lncRNA from 1 species
UCGAAAUUGUGAAGCAUGUAAUGUUACUGAUCGAUUGCCUUGUCGUAAAAUACAAAUCUUAUUGGUUGCAACACGAAUUGCAUCAUGUUCUCCAUACAUUGAUCGAAACUUUGCCAAAAAAGCCUCUAGAUUAUCCAAUAUUGGAUCUCGUCAUUCAAGAAAAGAUGAAAACGACGAUAGUACUGAACCUCAAAGAAGUGUACUAAUGAAUCUAACUUGCGAUCUUGGAGUUGAAUAGCUUUGGGAUUGAAGUUCAAUCACAAGUUGUACUUGAUUGAUAAAUCCUC